CCCAUUUAGUCUUUUCCUUCAAAUUUUCAGAUCGUGCCCUAGUCCUCCUCCGCUCUCUCUCACUCUCGCCUUCCCACCCUUUUCCAGUUCUCCCCCUUGACGCAAACGCCGAUUCAGACGACAAACCAGACGUCGGGAAGACGACAGGAGAGUCGCAGACGCUAGGCUCGUCAACCGCUCGCCUCCAAGCUGGGUCCCCCUCCCUUUUUCUCUUUUGUUGUUACUUUAGACGUCAGAUUCCCCAACUGCAUGCAAAGCUUUGGAUUUGAAGAUACAAAA